CUGAAGCUCCGAUGAAUGGUUACAUAUGAUAUUAUACAUGUAGUAAAAAAAAAACUAAGAAAUAAUACGAAUCGAUUUUCCGUAGAAUGCCUAGACAUUAUUUUCGCUAGAUACAAGUAAAUAUACUUCAUGGCGAAACAAAAGAAAAUAUGUGACAGAACAAGACGUGUAUCAGUAAAAGUUAGGACAAUGUGUAACAAUGACAAUGACAAUGUAUAGAAAAACAAAUGGCAAACUUUCACUGUUAAAUUUAAAGUCUUAAGUGACUGAACAAGACAAGAGUUAGUAAAUAAAAUGUUCAUACAUUUCAGUAAGAAAAGUUCAAUUAAACCACACCAUUGAAAGAAUACGUAAGUAAUAGUAAUAUGAAGCACAGUGGAAGAAUUGUUGCCAAAUAAAUGUUGUCAGUGUUUUGACAUCUAAAACAUCGCUGGAGAUAAAAUAAUAGCUCGAGAAAUUUAAGAAGUAGUCCACUUCAACAAGCCUAUAGAGUUAUAUGAAAAAAUACGAUGUACAUAAAGCGAGAACAGAAGAAUGAUAGAAAAAAAAAUACAAAAGUAAGUGACUGGACUAAAACGAACGAGUGCGAAAGAAAGAAAGAAGGAAAGACAUGUGAGAAAAUGUGAACAAAGUAAUUGCAAUACAGGAAAUAAACUGAUAAAAAGAUAUUGCACAAUAAAUGUUCUAUGUCUCGAAAGUAAA
rnacentral:lncRNA from 1 species